GUGGGGAAUAUUGGACAAUGGGCGAAAGCCUGAUCCAGCCAUGCCGCGUGUGUGAAGAAGGUCUUCGGAUUGUAAAGCACUUUAAGUUGGGAGGAAGGGCAUUAACCUAAUACGUUAGUGUUUUGACGUUACCGACAGAAUAAGCACCGGCUAACUUCGUGCCAGCAGCCGCGGUAAUACGAAGGGUGCAAGCGUUAAUCGGAAUUACUGGGCGUAAAGCGCGCGUAGGUGGUUUUGUAAGUUGGAAGUGAAAUCCCCGGGCUCAACCUGGGAACUGGCUCCAAAACUGCAUGACUAGAGUACGGUAGAGGGUAGUGGAAUUUCCUGUGUAGCGGUGAAAUGCGUAGAUAUAGGAAGGAACACCAGUGGCGAAGGCGACUACCUGGACUGACACUGACACUGAGGUGCGAAAGCGUGGGGAGCAAACAGGAUUAGAAACCCUUGAGUCC
rnacentral:rRNA from 1 species